rnacentral:rRNA from 1 species
AUUGAACGCUGGCGGCAUGCCUUACACAUGCAAGUCGAACGGGCAGCACGGGAGCAAUCCUGGUGGCGAGUGGCGAACGGGUGAGUAAUAUAUCGGAACGUGCCCGGUCGUGGGGGAUAACGUAGCGAAAGCUACGCUAAUACCGCAUACGAUCUACGGAUGAAAGCGGGGGAUCGCAAGACCUCGCGCGAUUGGAGCGGCCGAUAUCAGAUUAGGUAGUUGGUGAGGUAAAGGCUCACCAAGCCGACGAUCUGUAGCUGGUCUGAGAGGACGACCAGCCACACUGGGACUGAGACACGGCCCAGACUCCUACGGGAGGCAGCAGUGGGGAAUUUUGGACAAUGGGCGCAAGCCUGAUCCAGCAAUGCCGCGUGCAGGAUGAAGGCCUUCGGGUUGUAAACUGCUUUUGUACGGAACGAAACGGUGAGCUCUAAUACAGUUUGCUAAUGACGGUACCGUAAGAAUAAGCACCGGCUAACUACGUG